CACCUGAUUUGAAGAUUAUUAGAUGAGUUUUGAUAUUGGAAUUGAAGGAAAUUAAGCUUAAGUGCUAAAUUUUGAGGUAUUGAUGGAAUUGGUGGUGUUUUAUGUUCAGAUCUUUGGAGAGGAAUGUACUGAUUGUGGACAAGCUUAGCAGGGUUUUCCAGCGACCUCUCGCUGUCGUGGACUGAGCGCUAGAGGUGGGUUAAUUAUCGGAUUCUCCUCCUAAGUGUAUGAAUAGUCAACAUGUAUAUUUUCAGCCUUUGUAUAUCAUGUUUUUAGCUCGAAUUCAUCGAUUAGCAUGUUAAAUGAAAUCUGAAUUUGGAGCAUAUUGUAGUGAGUUAGAUAAAUUAUACAUGUUGGACUUGACAUUGACUUAGGAGAAAACCGACGAUUCUACACUGUCAUAUGUUAAAACUACCAGAUUUAGCUCUAGAAGCCAUAGUUUGGUUAUAUCGCCGCAGUUUAUGGGCGGUGGAUACCCAGGAUAGUGUAAAAUAUUUUUACGCUCGUGCUGAGAUGCCGAACUUAUUUUUACAGCAAUGUUUUAGGCUGUUUCGGAUUGUCGUAUGCCGUUGUGGUUGACGGUGGACCCAGAUUACUGUUUUUGCAUCAGAUUGUGCCGAGGGCACUUGAGUUGGAUUCUUAGACCCUGUUACUUGACUAUAGCUUGUGAGAGCCUGGUUGAGCUCGACAAAGACACGCUUUCAUACUCGGUUGGGUAACGCCCACGAGUGCCAUUCUGGAGUCGGGCUUUGUGCAUUUGCGUUGGUGUCGUUGUGUCCUGCUUGGACUUACUCUCCACGGAUGGCUUAGCGUGGAGGUAGCUGUAUAGCUUCGACAGGUGGGACGGGUGUAUUCACAGUCCCUAGUGAGAUUGGGUUAGAAAUUGCAUUAUUCUACAAAUAGUUAGUGUUGGAUCAUGAUAGUAUAGUGGCAUAUAACUGUAGAUUGUUCCAGUCCCUUUACUAUCAUUUGUGCAUACUUUCUGUAGACUUGGUGGGUGAGCCGAUGAGAUUGAGGGCGGUAUCCACUGAGGACUACUUCUUUGCAGUAGUUCUCACGCCCAGUUGUUACCCCUCUUUUUGCAGAGCCUUCUUCUUCGGCUGCUACUGUCGCGGAUAUCGAUCGUGGAAAGGGAGUCGCAAGCUAGAUCCCUUCCCGUUUUGCUAUUG
rnacentral:lncRNA from 1 species